UUUAAUUCUGUUUUGAUUCCGUUAACUUGUUUCGUUUUUGUUUUGUGAUUACGUCGCCAAAUUACCGUUCUAUUGAAUUGCGUGCGUUGACUUCGGUGCGUUACCUGAAAAGCUCCUCCUGAGGAGACCGCGCUAUUCGGAAACUCUGACGCGAUCCAGAACUGAUUUGCUUGUGAAAUUUUGCCCCAAUUACUGGUCUUUCCCGCUCCGUUGUUUUGGUAUCGGUCAAUGCAUUUGCAUAGCCUGGGAUUGUCUCCACUAUACAUUCAAGAUGUUUCCGAAGCCGACCAGAGCCAGAGGAUUUCCAACGUUAUUCCGAAGAAAUGGAUGUAGCAUCAUACCGAGGAUGGAUUUCAUUCCAAUUAUUUCCCUUGGAUGGCAUUGGACCCUGUUGCAAAUACUGUUCCGUAACAUUAUCGUGACAAUCUGGUAUGAAUUAAAUUCAAAUGACGGUAAUAGGAACAAAGAUUUUGGGCAAACGGUCAAGGAAAAGGAAGAUGAACGAAAAAAUCAUGUACCUCUGUUCAGGAAAAUUAAAUAUUCAACCCAUCGUUUAUCCAUAUCCAUGGCUGGUUUCUGGGCUCCAGAUGCCUUGAAAUUAUAGCUAUGGAUCAUCAGGGUUAUCUACAAGAAGCCUUCUUUCUGGAUCACCGAGUGCAGUUUACUGAAAUUGGUGAAAAUCUUAUUAGAUAAACUACAAUUUCGAAAAUUCCAUCAUCACCAAAACAAGUCUAAAAUGAAAUUUCGAGAAGAUAGACCGAACCAAAAACCAUUAGCUUUAAGUUUCUUUAGUUCGAUCUGUUCACACAUUUCGUCGAGGUCUGUCAAGUGUCAAUCACUCUGUAUUAGAGCCUCCAGUAGAUUACCUCAGUGCAGAAAUCUCAUAUAUGGAAAUGGAAGUCGAUAGCUAUAUCCAGUUCUAUUAUGUGGUGAUGUAAUAUCGAAUAACAAUUUGAAAGAAAGCUAUCGAAAAUCUCAAAUUGUAUUUGAUUGUAAUACAUCUAUAAUAGCAGAGCGUUGAAUCAAUUCAAUGUCUUGAAAAUUUUUGCUAAAGAUUGUUAUGUGCUGAAUGUGGAAUAAGACGGUGAUGGAAAAAAGGAUGAUUAAUCUUAAGACGACAAUGAAGAAGUUCAUGGUAGGAAUUUAUGUAAGAACUGCUGCAGCAGUCAUCGUUG